AGUGAACGCUGGCGGUAGGCCUAACACAUGCAAGUCGAACGGCAGCACAGGAGAGCUUGCUCUCUGGGUGGCGAGUGGCGGAAGGGUGAGGAAUAUAUCGGAAUCUACUCUGUCGUGGGGGACAACGUAAGGAAACUUACGCUAAUACCGCAUACGACCAACGGGUGAAAGUAGGGGAACUUCGGACCUGGCGCGAUUGAAUGAGCCGAUGUCGGAUUAGCAAGUUGGCGGGGUAAAGGCCCACCACGGAGACGGUCCGUAGUUUGUCUGAGGGGGUGGACAGCCACACUGGAACUGAGACACGGUCCAGACUCCUACGGGUGGCAGCAGUGGGGAAUCUUGGACAAUGGGGGAAACCCUGAUCCAGCGAUGCCGCGUGUGUGAAGAAGGCCUUCGGGUUGUAAAGCACUUUAAGUGAGGAAGAAAGGUAUCAAGUGAAUAACUUGGUGCUAUGACGGUACCCGCAGAAUAAGCACCGGCUAACUCUGUGCCAGCCGCCGCAGUAA
rnacentral:rRNA from 1 species